CCUACGGGAGGCAGCAGUGAGGAAUAUUGGUCAAUGGGCUUACGCCUGAACCAGCCAAGUCGCGUGAGGGAAGACUGCCCUAUGGGUUGUAAACCUCUUUUGUCAGGGAGCAACGCCGGCUACGUGUAGCCGGACUGAGAGUACCGGAAGAAAAGGCAUCGGCUAACUCCGUGCCAGCAGCCGCGGUAAUACGGAGGAUGCGAGCGUUAUCCGGAUUUAUUGGGUUUAAGGGGUGCGUAGGCAGAAUGCCAAGUCAGCGGUAAAAUCGCGGGGCUCAACCUCGCUCCGCCGUUGAAACUGGCGGUCUUGAGUGGGCGAGAAGUAUGCGGAAUGCGUGGUGUAGCGGUGAAAUGCAUAGAUAUCACGCAGAACUCCGAUUGCGAAGGCAGCAUACCGGCGCCCAACUGACGCUGAAGCACGAAAGCGUGGGUAUCGAACAGGAUUAGAUACCCCAGUAGUC
rnacentral:rRNA from 1 species